AAGGCAGUGUCAGAGUGACUGACAAGCUGAGAUACAACCCAUCAGCAUCCAAUGACAGCGACUGCAUGAAUCUUCCCAGUCAAAGGACCCAUUUUCAUGAUAGACUGUGGCUGGGGCUGGAGGCUCUACAUACAGGGUGUGCCUAUGCAGGCCAAAGACUGCCAGUAUUAGCACAGGUGAGGUGUGUGACCCCCCAAAUUGACAGACUUUGUGUGAAUGAGAGUUUGUGGGUGGGAUUAUUGUUUAUGGCAACCCUGUUGCUCCUACAAGGGAGCACCCAGGGGUCUGAACCUUCAUCCUCCAACACCACGUUCUGGACAUGGCCCAGGAGGAAGAAGGGGAAACACUGCAUAGCAGGGCCCCCAGCUCCCCUAGAGGGUCCAGAAGGAUACCAUGGUCAAAGGUCUCCAAACCACUGAGAGAUCCAGCAGAACCAGGAAACAGCUUUUCCUCUCAGCCUCUAGACCAUCGGAGAUCAUCAGUCACAGCAACCAGGGUAGUUUCAGUUCCAUGAUGAGGCCUGAAUCCCGAUUGGAAGGAUAAUGAUGGAAGAAGCUUUUCUGGUCCUGCACCCCCAAAAGCUCCAGGCCCAAGAAUUUAAUUAGCUUUUAAGGGGCCAUCGUAUGCUUGGUGGCCUUUUAUUAAAAAGACAAAUAUUCUGACUAGUUUUUAAUUGAUGAAUGAUAUAAACAGCACUUCUUUUUUACAUAUUCCACAUUGGAGAGAUUGUUAUACACAGGUCUGAGCUCAUCUCUCUGCCUGAAACUGCUGUGUUAGCAGCACUGCCUGGGCAGUGUGUUUGGGGGUUCAGGGCUGCCUAGACAACAAGACCCCCUUCUCAGCCUGGCUUAUAUGGUCCGAAGGAAAGCCGAGGAGUAUGUUAGGCACCAGCUUGGCUGCAGGAGUGGCUGGAAGGUGGUGUGCAGGGCACCAUCCAACCGCCUUAGAGACUCCACUCUGGAUUUCUGUAGGUUUUCCUCCAUAGCAUUUUCUUCUCCUGAAGAUAACUCAAGAGGACGUGAAGGAGUGAACCAAAGUAUUACGACCAGAGUUUUCCUUCUCGAUGGGCUCCCUUCCCUGGUUGACGAGCCCCAUCUGCCCUCAUUUCCUCUGCAGCAUGGGCAGAAUCUGCCUUCUUGACUGUGGGAUUCACUGUUGUUCUCCUCCUCUCCAUCCACCAGGGCCUGCCUUCACCUGCAGCAGAAUUCCCCAACUCACCAAGAAUUUGAGACCCAUCAGGUAUCCUCACCUGGUUUAGCU